rnacentral:rRNA from 1 species
UGGGGAAUAUUGCACAAUGGGCGCAAGCCUGAUGCAGCCAUGCCGCGUGUAUGAAGAAGGCCUUCGGGUUGUAAAGUACUUUCAGCAGGGAGGAAGGGAGUAAAGUUAAUACCUUUGCUCAUUGACGUUACCCGCAGAAGAAGCACCGGCUAACUCCGUGCCAGCAGCCGCGGUAAUACGGAGGGUGCAAGCGUUAAUCGGAAUUACUGGGCGUAAAGCGCACGCAGGCGGUCUGUCAAGUCGGAUGUGAAAUCCCCGGGCUCAACCUGGGAACUGCAUUCGAAACUGGCAGGCUAGAGUCUUGUAGAGGGGGGUAGAAUUCCAGGUGUAGCGGUGAAAUGCGUAGAGAUCUGGAGGAAUACCGGUGGCGAAGGCGGCCCCCUGGACAAAGACUGACGCUCAGGUGCGAAAGCGUGGGGAGCAAACAGG